rnacentral:misc_RNA from 1 species
GUGACAAUCAUGUCCGCACCUACUCCUCGCACCGGCAUCAUUGCCGGCUUCAACAAGGGUCACGUGACGACCCGCCGUCCGCGCCAGCCGUCGCCCAACGACCGCUUUGCCGUGCCUCACAAGCACCUGCGCGCUGUGAAGGCUAUCAUCGCUGAUUUAGUAGGCUUGUCCCCCCUGGAGAAGCGUGUACAGGAGUUUCUGCGUGUCGGCAAGGAGAAGCGCGCCUUGAAGUACUGCAAGAAGCGUCUUGGAGAUUUUACUGCGGCCAAGAAGAAGCGCUCGAAGAUGGAGGAGGCGCUGCGUCACACAACCAAGAAGCACCAUUAAAGUAUUCGGCAGCUGUCAUCACUUUUUUUCUACUUUGGCAAAACAUCAAGCGAGAACAUAAGAAAACAACAACAACAAAAAAAAACAAUAUAAUGAUAAAAAAGUGCUAUCACAGUGACUAACUGCACUUUUUCCAUGCGAGCUACUCCUGUGCUCUGUUGCCCUCGCUUUUGUGACGGUGCCUGUGAUAUCGAUUGACGCUCUACUAUUCCUUUUGCACCCUCCUCUCUGUUCUCUCUUGAACCGCUGCACUACUCAUCUGUGUGACAUGAAG